GACGAACGCUGGCGGCGUGCUUAACACAUGCAAGUCGAACGGGCCCGCCCCUGUUUUUGGGGGUGGGUUGAGUGGCGAACGGGUGAGUAUCACGUGAGUAACCUGCCCCCUGCUCCUGGAUAACUGCUUGAAAGGGCGGCUAAUACGGGGUGUGCCGGCUGGUCCGCAUGGGCCUGGUCGGGAUAGUUUCAUCUUCGGGUGUUUCGGUGGGGGAUGGGCUCGCGGCCUAUCAGCUUGUUGGUGGGGUGAUGGCCCACCAAGGCGGUGACGGGUAGCCGGCCUGAGAGGGUGGGCGGCCACACUGGGACGGAGACACGGCCCAGACUCCUGCGGGAGGCAGCAGGGGGGGGUAUUGCACAAUGGGCGGAAGCCUGAUGCAGCGACGUCGCGUGAGGGAUGGAGGCCUUCGGGUUGUGAACCUCUUUCUCCGGUGGUGAAGGCCCUGUCCGUUGCGGCGGGGUUGACGGUAGCCGGGUAUGAAGCGCCGGCUAACUACGUG
rnacentral:rRNA from 1 species